rnacentral:tRNA from 1 species
GCGAGAGUGGCGGAAUUGGUAGACGCACCGGACUUAGGAUCCGGCGGCAUGGCCUUGCGGGUUCGAGUCCCGCCUCUCGCA